GUUAUUUAAAAUAAAGAAAAUAAAGCCUUGUAAAUUUGCUGUUUUUCAAGAGAAAAGUGCUAAAUUUUAUCAAGAGUUAUUUCCCUUCGUGUAACUCUUUUGUGUUUCCUGUGAAAAAAGGGAUGUUUUUUGCCAGCAGAAGACUUUCAGAUUGGUUUGCUGCUUCGUUUUUACUACAAAUUCCACUUGUCAGAAGAUGUAAUUAAUUUGAAUUUAGUUGAUAUGAAUAAUAAGGACAUAAUACUAACAGAAUGUGGUAUUUUGCCGUCCAGUUCUGAAAAUAGGGAAAUUUGUUCCACACAUUUUUCUCUGCCGUUGAAACAAAACAGUGACUGAGUGAUGUACGAAGAAGAAAUUUGGUGUCAAGUGCCAUUCCUUAUUUUAAAAAAAAUCUGGUGAAUCAUAAUUCAAUUCCAUGAGAAGCAGAAAUCCAACAGACUGAUCCCAGUCAAUGGUGUACACUCAAAAUACACAGAGGCUAGAGGACUUGUUCUUCCUGGAACCCCUCUAUGCACCAGCCUUUCUCAUGAAGUUGAAUGCUCAAACAAUAUGAAGAGGAUGAAAAUGUAGCUGACAAACAAAACAGGAAAUAUGAUCAGGCUCAGCCACACCUUAAUGAACAUAAAGAGCUAUUCCAUUCAAGGCCAUGAUAUGUUCUAACAGCUGAUUCAAUGAAAAAGGUUAUUGAACAAUCUCUGAAAACUGUCAAGUAAAGAGUCAGUACAAUUGUAGAUAUAUGCACAGAAAAUGAAGAAAAAACUCUACUGAAACCAUGGCUUAGAUAUCAACAUAGAAUAACUUCUUUUCUCAAGUAUAUCUCUUUCCCAAGUAUUCCAAAAGUGGAUCUUUAUCAAAUUCAAAGUGAAGUAUCACAGGGAGCAUGUGAGAUUGUGAAACAGUCUGCCUAAAAAAAUUAAAAGGGAGGAAAACAUCUACACGUGUACCAAAGAUGGUUGCACACUGUUGUUCUC